CACAGGUGGUCGGGUAGAGAAUACCAAGGCGCUUGAGAGAACUCGGGUGAAGGAACUAGGCAAAAUGGUACCGUAACUUCGGGAGAAGGUACGCUCUUGAUGGUGAAGUCCCUCGCGGAUGGAGCUGACGAGAGUCGCAGAUACCAGGUGGCUGCAACUGUUUAUUAAAAACACAGCACUGUGCAAAAUCGCAAGAUGACGUAUACGGUGUGACGCCUGCCCGGUGCCGGAAGGUUAAUUGAUGGGGUUAGCGCAAGCGAAGCUCUUGAUCGAAGCCCCGGUAAACGGCGGCCGUAACUAUAACGGUCCUAAGGUAGCGAAAUUCCUUGUCGGGUAAGUUCCGACCUGCACGAAUGGCGUAAUGAUGGCCACGCUGUCUCCACCCGAGACUCAGUGAAAUUGAAAUCGCUGUGAAGAUGCAGUGUACCCGCGGCUAGACGGAAAGACCCCGUGAACCUUUACUACAGCUUGGCACUGAACAUUGAACCUACAUGUGUAGGAUAGGUGGGAGGCUAUGAAGACGUGACGCCAGUUGCGUUGGAGUCGUCCUUGAAAUACCACCCUUGUAUGUUUGAUGUUCUAACUUAGACCCAUUAUCUGGGUUGAGGACAGUGCCUGGUGGGUAGUUUGACUGGGGCGGUCUCCUCCCAAAGAGUAACGGAGGAGCACGAAGGUGGGCUAAUCACGGUUGGACAUCGUGAGGUUAGUGCAAUGGCAUAAGCCCGCUUAACUGCGAGAAUGACGGUUCGAGCAGGUGCGAAAGCAGGUCAUAGUGAUCCGGUGGUUCUGUAUGGAAGGGCCAUCGCUCAACGGAUAAAAGGUACUCCGGGGAUAACAGGCUGAUACCGCCCAAGAGUUCAUAUCGACGGCGGUGUUUGGCACCUCGAUGUCGGCUCAUCACAUCCUGGGGCUGAAGUCGGUCCCAAGGGUAUGGCUGUUCGCCAUUUAAAGUGGUACGCGAGCUGGGUUUAGAACGUCGUGAGACAGUUCGGUCCCUAUCUGCCGUGGGCGUUGGAAGAUUGAAGGGGGCUGCUCCUAGUACGAGAGGACCGGAGUGGACGAACCUCUGGUGUUCGGGUUGUGUCGCCAGACGCAUUGCCCGGUAGCUAAGUUCGGAAUUGAUAAGCGCUGAAAGCAUCUAAGCGCGAAGCGAGCCCUGAGAUGAGUCUUCCCUGAUACUUUAAGUAUCCUAAAGGGUUGUUCGAGACUAGAACGUUGAUAGGCAGGGUGUGUAAGCGUUGUGAGGCGUUGAGCUAACCUGUACUAAUUGCCCGUGAGGCUUAACCAU
rnacentral:rRNA from 1 species